ACCUUUAUACAGUGGCAGUAUUGUAAUUAGUGAGGUUUAUCCCAGGCGUGAUUAUUGCUAAUUGAAAACUUUUCUGUCAGGCCCAGCUCAAGAACAACAUAACACAAUCCAGUCAAAGUUCAAGGUUUUGGGGGUUUUUACAUUUCUUUACACCGUAUUGACAAGA